rnacentral:rRNA from 1 species
AUUGAACGCUGGCGGCAUGCCUAACACAUGCAAGUCGAACGGAGGUAGGGGCAACUCUACUUCAGUGGCGGACGGGUGAGGAAUGCGUCGGAAUCUACCCUAUGGUGGGGGAUAACACAGGGAAACUUGUGCUAAUACCGCAUAAUGUCGAGAGACCAAAGCAGGGGACCGCAAGGCCUUGCGCGAUAGGAUGAGCCGACGCCCGAUUAGCUAGUUGGUAGGGUAAAGGCCUACCAAGGCGACGAUCGGUAGCUGGUCUGAGAGGAUGAUCAGCCACACUGGGACUGAGACACGGCCCAGACUCCUACGGGAGGCAGCAGUGGGGAAUAUUGGACAAUGGGGGCAACCCUGAUCCAGCCAUUCCGCGUGAGUGAAGAAGGCCUCGGUUGUAAGCUCUUUCAGCAGGAACGAAACGGUAGGCCACUAAUAACUGGCUACUAAUGACGGUACCUGAAGAAGAAGCACCGGCUAACUACGUGCCAGCAGCCGCGGUAAU